GUAAAUGGAGAAAGAGGAGAGGAUAUGUACUGCCUCUGAAGUUAGUGUGCUUGAAAAAGCUGUCUGGUUUCCCUGGAAAUCGAGACUUUCUAAUGACACAUUUGAAGUUUCCCAGAUGGCAGCAGAGGGACAAUCUGACCAAAUAGUGUCUGACAUGGAAAUGUGAAUGAAGCAAAGUGUAUGGGAACUGUUGAAUCAAGGCCGGAACCUCUGAUUGACCACCUGAGGUGAGCGCUGAGUCAGCCACAGGGGCACAGGUGAAUGCAAUUUCACCUGAGUGACCAGAGCCAGGCUCCACCCCUCCUAGACCCCAUUUAAGGGCUGACUCCCAGGAAGGAAGGUUCUCUAUCUGAGGAUCACUCCUCUUGGAGUGCUUCUGUAAGCCUGGGAUACAGGUUUCAAACCAAUGGAAAUGCACUGAUGGGAUGUACAGUGGAAACGCUAAGUCACAGCUUGAACCAGUGAUUGAGCACCUAGUGGGAAGGCAGGGCCAACUCAAAGGACCUCAGGUGCAUGCAAUGUACCGCAGUGACUGGAAGGGGUGGAGCCAGGAUUCACCGCCUCCCAGACCUCAUUUAAGGGUUGGCAGUGGAAGUGAGGAUAUUUUGCUGGAGAUCCCUGCCUACCUGAGCCUAUCUGAAGAAUUGCCAGCCUUGUGGAUGAGAAGCAAGCAUUGGAUGUGAUACAUCUUGACACAGCUUUUGAGACAAACUACUUGGUUAUUCUCAAGAGCAAGAUGAGAAUACAUGGUCUGGAUAAAAUUAGAAAUAAAUUUUAGACUUUAUUAAAGACUAUGUACCAAUAACUCAAUGUUAAACUAAGUACCUUAAGCAAGGUCUCACUGAGACUUUUCAUGAGCACUGUUCAACAAUUUCAUUAAUGGCUUGGAUGGUGAGAAACAUAGUACACUUCUUUAAUCUUUAUGCACUGCUUCCUUGGGAAGAAUUGCAAGGAUGCUGGAAGACAGUAUUAUGUCUUAUAUCGAUACAAAAAAAAUUCAGUGAAGGUAAUUUUGUUCUACAUAUAUGGAAGAGAAGGCCUAAAGUACAAAUAUAAAAUGUUUAAGUAUCUAAGAAGCAGUACUACUAGAAAAGGAUGAUCUGAAGCUAUAGCGGGCCACAAAUAGAAGAGGUGCCAGCAAUCUGAUGAAGGGUAGAUAAAAUUCUGAAAUGUAUUAGGUAAGAAUGUUAUAAAUAAUGCUUGAUGUAAGUAUCCCACUCAUUUUGAAAGUGAGAAAUCCAUAUGGAUAGUUUGAUAACCACUUUUUGGGUCAAAUACUUUAAGAAAGAUGUAAAACAAAAUGGAAAGGGAGAGAAACAAAAAUACCUUAUUGUGAUUUUCAGCAAGACUGAUAAAGGUGUCAUAUAAAAUGCUUUAAUUCCAAAGACGGUAGUACCAGAACUCACUAGAUGGGGGCAGGGGGAGGGGUGGUGAGGGGGAAGCCUGUAUACAAUCUUUUUGUAUUCAUCUCUGCGUAAUAAUUUUGAGUUUUCUCUAAAGAUUAGUUUAACAAAGAAUCUAAUUUCUGAAAGUUACAACAGAUAUAUAAAAAUAAAAGUAAGAAUGUGAAUGUCUGAUACCUGUUACCUCCACUACCACCUCACAUUCUCAUUUAGGUAAUUUAUUGUUUGUGUACUCAGUUACCACUACCACUGGAUCUCUUCUCUAUAUUAUUAUCCAGGCAACAUUUGAAGCUUUACUUAAGAACAUGAGGUACUAAAAAAAAAAUCUUUUCACAAAAGAAGGUAGUUUCAUUCACUGCCAUCCUUUCAUUUUGAAGUGGGC
ensembl:lncRNA